UCAGUUGGGUAUCCCACACUGAAUACAUAGGUGUGUGGAGGCGAACCCGGGGAACUGAAACAUCUAAGUACCCGGAGGAAAAGAAAUCGAAGAGAUUCCGUUAGUAGUGGCGAGCGAAAGCGGAUUAGCCCAAAAGUUGUAGUAUGUUUAGUAGAAUACUUUGGAAAGAGUAGCCAUAGAGGGUGAUAGCCCCGUAAAUGAAAGGCAUAUUAUGAUGAUAAUAGAGUAGGGCGGGACACGUGAAAUCCUGUCUGAAUAUGGGGGGACCAUCCUCCAAGGCUAAAUACUCAUCAUCGACCGAUAGUGAACCAGUACCGUGAGGGAAAGGUGAA
rnacentral:rRNA from 1 species